GGGUAAAAAUAUAACCUGACACAACUUUAUCAUUUUGAUCUGACUAGAAACUAGAAUCAAUAUUUCACAGAUUUUAAGUUAGAUUCUCUAUAAAUGAGCCAUUAGUCCUUAGUAUUUCAUAAAUACUUAAGGAUGGUUCUCAUAACCUUUCAAACCUUUAUGAAGAACAGAGAUGACAACCAAGCUUUUAUUCCCUAUAAUGUAGAGAAUGUCGUUCCUGAUUAAGAGAAUUUUAUCCCAAACAAUACAAAGAAUACUAUUACAGAACUA
rnacentral:lncRNA from 1 species